rnacentral:rRNA from 1 species
UUCUACGGUCAUACCACCCUGAAUGCUGUAUCCAAUCUCAAAAACCUAAGCAGGGCCGGGCCUGGUUAGUGCUUGGACGGGAGAGCUACAACGAACUCUGGAGAAA